GAUGAACGCUAGCGGGAGGCUUAACACAUGCAAGUCGAGGGGCAGCAUAAUGUAGCAAUACGUUGAUGGCGACCGGCGCACGGGUGAGUAACGCGUAUGCAACCUACCCUGUACAGUGGGAUAACCCGGAGAAAUUCGGACUAAUACCGCAUAAAGACAGAUAAGGGCAUCCUUAUCUAUUUAAAGCUGAGGCGGUACGGGAUGGGCAUGCGUAACAUUAGCUAGUUGGCAGGGUAACGGCCUACCAAGGCUACGAUGUUUAGGGGACCUGAGAGGGUGAUCCCCCACACUGGUACUGAGACACGGACCAGACUCCUACGGGAGGCAGCAGUGAGGAAUAUUGGUCAAUGGGCGCAAGCCUGAACCAGCCAUCCCGCGUGCAGGAAGAAUGCCCUAUGGGUUGUAAACUGCUUUUCCAGGGGGAGAACAUCUCCGACGUGUCGGGGUUGACGGUACC
rnacentral:rRNA from 1 species